rnacentral:rRNA from 1 species
UGGUGGAGUGAUUUGUCUGGUUAAUUCCGUUAACGAACGAGACCCCGACCUGCUAAAUAGAGUGUCGAAUGUUUUCUCAUUCGGUCACAUACUUCUUAGAGGGACCACGGUGCUUAACGCCGGGGAAGUUCGAGGCAAUAACA